rnacentral:lncRNA from 1 species
ACGCCCAGGGCCCCGCCCAGCGUCCGAAGGGGAUGGAGAGGGGCCGGGGACCUGCUGGAUUGUUGCCCCAAUUCGCGGAUUCUGGUUUCUGAAGGCUACGCCGGAAUUCCUUCCCCGGGACUUGGGAACCACUUCUGCCUCCCUCCCUGGGGCGUGGAGGCUGAGGAAAAGGAGUUAAUGUGUUAAGAGCCAUUGACAUUUGAAGAUCAUCAGAAGUGAAGAUAAAACAUCUCAAAAAUUAUAAUUGCCUCCACUUCUCAUUCAGAGAAUUCAGUGCAUACAAAAUCAGCUUCUGUUGUAUCAUCAGAUUCCAUUUCAACUUCUGCCGACAACUUUUCUCCUGAUUUGAGGGUCCUGAGGGAGUCUAACAAGUUAGCAGAAAUGGAAGAACCACCCUUGCUUCCAGGAGAAAAUAUUAAAGACAUGGGUCCGUAAUGGUAUUUUUUGCUUAAUGUCCUUCUCCGUUCUACUGUGCAGAAUGUUCAGUACUCUCAGCAUACAGAGAAUAAACUGGCUGUCAGAGACACCUCCUGUCUGGCAGAACUCUUUACCUGCAGUCUUCUCAGCAUCUUAGUGUGUUCUACAAACCCAAAGAUGUAACUUAUAUAUGUCCAUUCACUGGCGCUGUACGAGGAACUCUGACUGUCACGAAUUAUAGGUUAUAUUUCAAAAGCAUGGAACGGGAUCCCCCAUUUGUUUUAGAUGCUUCCCUU